rnacentral:rRNA from 1 species
AACUUAAGCAUAUUAAUAAGCGGAGGAAAAGAAACUAACAAGGAUUCCCCUAGUAACGGCGAGUGAAGCGGGAUGAGCUCAAGCUUAAAAUCUCUGUCACAUAUUUAUUAUGUGCGGCGAAUUGUAGUCUAUAGAAGCGUGGUCAGUGUAGGCACUUGAGAUAAGUUCCUUGAAAAAGGACAGCAUGGAGGGUGAAACUCCCGUUCAUACUUGAGUAGCUUAUGCGUACGACCCGUUUUCUUUGAGUCGCGUUGUUUGAGAAUGCAGCGCAAAGUAGGUGGUAAAUUCCAUCUAAAGCUAAAUAUUGGUGCGAGACCGAUAGCGAACAAGUACCGUGAGGGAAAGAUGAAAAGAACUUUGAAAAGAGAGUUAAAGAGUACCUGAAACUGCUGAAAGGGAACCGGAUCGUUUCUAGUGUCUAUAAUCUGUGACAUAUUUCAUUGGGGAGUGUGUGCGUGUGUAUACUAUGGCAGUGGCUUUUUUGGCUGCGCUUGGUGUGCGUGCUGUAUGUGCUUACUGGUGCCCUGUGUUGCGGUGGGACGUCAAGGUCGGUUUGUAUACUGCGGGAAAUGGCUAUUGAGGAGGUAGGGCUUACGCUUGCGUUUGUCUAUUAUAUCUUGGUAGUUGUGUCGUGGUUGAGACUGAGGUGUCUACAACGUGCUUAUGAGUGGGACUGUGUCUCCGUGUGCGCCGUGUGCGGAUAGCUUGCUAUGUGUGUGUGGUGGUGUGUGGAUUGAUGCGGGCUUUAACUUGUUGCCGUUCGGGACGUUGGCGAAAUAGAGCGAUUUGACCCGUCUUGAAACACGGACCAAGGAGUCUAACAUGUGUGCAAGUGUUAGGGUGUGGAAACCCAAGCGCGAAAUGAAAGUAAAGGAUAGUGUAAACUGUCUGAGGUAGGAAAUGCUGCGGAUUUCGGUCUGUGGCGUGGCACUAUCGACCGAUCAUGAACCUUCGUGGUGAAAGAUUUGAGUUUGAGCACAUAUGUUGGUACCCGAAAGAUGGUGAACCUAUGCCGGAGUA